CGGAUAUAGCUGGUUCUCCCCGAAAUAGCUUUAGGGCUAGCCUCGAAUAUAUUUACCGGAGGUAAAGCACUGAAUGGUCGAGGGGUCGAGAGACUACCAACACCUAUCAAACUAAGAAUACCGGAUAAAUGAGUUCGGGAGUCAGACUACGUGAGAUAAGUCUCGUGGUCAAAAGGGAAACAGCCCAGACCCACAGCUAAGGUCCCCAAUGUAUGCUAAGUGGAAAACGAUGUGACAAUGCUAAGACAACUAGGAUGUUGGCUUAGAAGCAGCCACUCAUUCAAAGAGUGCGUAAUAGCUCACUAGUCGAGUGAUGUUGCGCGGAAAAUUCAACGGGGCUAAGCAUACAACCGAAGCUUGGGCAGUAGAAAUACUGGGUAGGGGAGCGUUCUGUACGGGCAGAAGCAUCAGCGGAAGCAGAUGUGGACUGUACAGAAGUGAGAAUGCCGGAAUGAGUAGCGAGAAUUGUGUGAGAAUCAUAAUGGCCGAAAAUCUAAGGUUUCCGGGGGUAGGGUCGUCCACCCCGGGUUAGCCGGGAGCUAAGGCGAGGCCGCGAGGCGUAGUCGAUGCACAAACGGUAGAGAUUCCGUUGCCGCCAGAUCUUAAGUAACUGACACGAGGGUAGAGUUCAACCCGGCCGAUGGUAGAGCCGGGCGAAAGGGACUGAAGAAUAGUAGGGAAGUGAACGAAGCCAGCGGCGAGAAAAGGUUAUGUAUGAAAUCAGGCGCCCGUACCGCAAACCGACACAGGUAGAUGAGGAGAGGAUCCUAAGGCCAGCGGGAGAAGGGUUGUUAAGGAACUCGGCAUAUUGACCCCGUAACUUCGGAAGAAGGGGUGCCUCCGUAAGGAGGCCGCAGUGAAAAGGCCCAGGCAACUGUUUAUCAAAAACACAGGUUUCUGCAAAAGCGAAAGCUGAAGUAUAGGAGCUGACGCCUGCCCGGUGCUGGAAGGUCAAGGGGAUCGCUUAGCGCAAGCGAAGGCGAGAACUUAAGCCCCAGUAAACGGCGGCCGUAACUAUAACGGUCCUAAGGUAGCGAAAUUCCUUGCCAGGUAAGUUCUGGCCUGCACGAAUGGCGUAAUGAUCUGGGCACUGUCUCAACAGCCCGCCCGGCGAAAUUGUAGUACCGGUGAAGAUGCCGGUUUCCUGCGACUAGACGGAAAGACCCCAUGGAGCUUUACUGUAGUCUGAUACUGAAAUUUGGUUCAUUAUGCACAGGAUAGGUGGGAGACAGAGAAACCCGGGCUUUGGCUUGGGCGGAGUCGCCGUUGGGAUACCACUCUUGAUGAACCAAGUUUCUAACCUGCUCCCGUGAUCCGGGAGGGGGACAAUGUCAGAUGGGCAGUUUGACUGGGGCGGUCGCCUCCAAAAGAGUAACG
rnacentral:rRNA from 1 species